rnacentral:tmRNA from 1 species
GGGGGUGACCGGUUUUGACAGCAGGUAGAAUUCGAUUGUAAGCACGCCGAGCCUUGUGUGGGGUCUCGUUAAUCGCAACACUCAAACUACAAAUGGCAAUAAUAGCUACGCACGCGCUGCCUAUUUUUCAGGGAAAAUUGGCUUAAUCGC